rnacentral:rRNA from 1 species
ACUCCUACGGGAGGCAGCAGUGGGAAUAUUGGACAAUGGGGAACCGUAGCAUCCAGCAAUGCCGCAGUGUGUGAAGAAGGCCUGAGGGUUGUAAAGCACUUUUAGUCGUGAGGAAAUGCUGAUGGUUAAUACCUAUUAGUUUGACGUUAGCGACAGAAAAGCACCGGCUAACUCUGUGCCAGCAGCCGCGGUAAUACAGAGGGUGCAAGCGUUAAUCGGAUUGACUGGGCGUAAAGGGCGCGUAGGUGGUUAUUUAAGUUAGAUGUGAAAUCCCUGGCUU